rnacentral:rRNA from 1 species
UACGAAGGGGGCUAGCGUUGCUCGGAAUUACUGGGCGUAAAGCGCACGUAGGCGGAUUGUUAAGUCAGGGGUGAAAUCCUGGAGCUCAACUCCAGAACUGCCUUUGAUACUGAAGAUCUUGAGUCCGGGAGAGGUGAGUGGAACUGCGAGUGUAGAGGUGAAAUUCGUAGAUAUUCGCAAGAACACCAGUGGCGAAGGCGGCUCACUGGCCCGGUACUGACGCUGAGGCACGAAAGCGUGGGGAGCAAACAGG